GACGAACGCUGGCGGCGUGCUUAACACAUGCAAGUCGAGCGGAAAGGCCACUUCGGUGAUACUCGAGCGGCAAACGGGUGAGUAACACGUGAGUAAUCUGCCCUUGGCUUCGGGAUAGCCACCGGAAACGGUGAUUAAUACCGGAUAUGACCACUUCAGGCAUCUGGUGGUGGUGGAAAGUUUUUCGGCCAGGGAUGUGCUCGCGGCCUAUCAGCUUGAUGGUGAGGUAAUGGCUCACCAUGGCUUCGACGGGUAGCCGGCCUGAGAGGGUGACCGGUCACACUGGGACUGAGACACGGCCCAGACUCCUACGGGAGGCAGCAGUGGGGAAUAUUGGACAAUGGGCGGAAGCCUGAUCCAGCAACGCCGCGUGAGGGAUGACGGCCUUCGGGUUGUAAACCUCUUUCGCCUAUGACGAAGCGCAAGUGACGGUAAUAGGUAAAGAAGCACCGGCCAACUACGUGCCAGCCGCCGCCGUAAGAC
rnacentral:rRNA from 1 species